UUAACGGAGAGUUUGAUUCUGGCUCAGAACGAACGCUGGCGGCGUGGAUAAGACAUGCAAGUCGAGCGAGAUUUUUUCCUGUAGCAAUACAGGGAAAAGUCUAGCGGCGAACGGGUGCUUAACACGUGGGCAAUCUGCCAAGAAGUGGGGGAUAGCUCGCCGAAAGGCGAAUUAAUACCGCAUGUGAUCAGAGUGGACAUCCAUUCGAAAUCAAAGUCGGGGCAACCUGACGCUUUUUGAGGAGCCCGCGGCCUAUCAGCUAGUUGGUGAGGUAACGGCCCACCAAGGCUUAGACGGGUAGCUGGUCUGAGAGGACGACCAGCCACACUGGGACUGAGACACGGCCCAGACACCUACGGGUGGCAGCAGUCGAGAAUUUUU
rnacentral:rRNA from 1 species